rnacentral:lncRNA from 1 species
CUUAUCACUCACUGAUAAGAGGCUAAGGUAGGAUGGUGAGUUAGAGGACAGUCUUGGGCACACAGUUCUAAGCCAGCUUUGGGCCCCGUGGAGUCUGGAAAAUUGGGAGUUUGAAUCGGGAAGGCUAAAAUGACAAGAUUAAGAUCAUAGGGAAGGAGCUGGACAUUUUUUUUUUUUUUGUUUUAUACUUUUCAUGUGUCUUAGGCUGGCCUUGAACUCUCGUUCUUCGUGUCUUAAUCUAUGGAGUACUGUAUUUACAGGUCUCCUGUGCCUACCUACUUACUUAGGAUGCUGUCUUACUAUGUAUGUAGCCUUAGCUGACCUAGAACUCAGAUCCAGGUGCCCCUGUCCUCCAGCCCCCACAGUUCCAAACAGGAACUCAGUAGUCCCCACCUUCAUUCCUCAGUGGCAUCAGUAUCUUUCAGUCCUGACAGAGUGAUGGAUCUUAGGCUUGAUUCUUUCCUUUCUGAAUCAGCCUUGAGCUUUAAGUAGGUUGAAGAUGCUGUAACUCCAUAGUGCUGGGAUCACAGGCAUUUGCCUCCAGGUUUGCUUUUCAAGAGUUUUUGUUUGCAUUUCUGGCUUGGAUUUCGUAAACUGUCGGAAAGUUUUAGCUUGGUGGUGUUUUAGCUUGGUGUUACAGCAGAGUUUCCAGCACUUUGCAAAAUGACCUUAAACACUGCUUCCAUGUUAUAUUGUGUUUAUGUAAAGCAGUGUUCUCUGAAUCGACUCUGAAAUUAAAAUAUCAGCCAGCUCUGAAUAAUGCUGAAGGCGCUCUGCAGCUUACAGGAUCAAAUGCUCACCCAAAAUUGUUAUGUAAGAAGCACAUCCAUUUCUUCCAUCUAAAAAUAAACACCCUUGUGAUUAAUU